rnacentral:misc_RNA from 1 species
GAAAUGCGAUAAGUAAUGUGAAUUGCAGAAUUCAGUGAAUCAUCGAAUCUUUGAACGCACAUUGCGCCCUCUGGUAUUCCGGGGGGCAUGCCUGUUCGAGCGUCAUUACAACCCUCAAGCUUUGCUUGGUAUUGGACAUUGCCAGUUUCUGGCAGGUCUUAAAAUCAGUGGCAGCACCGAGUUUUGGUGUCUGAG